UUUAGUGACUGAGUGGCGGACGGGUGAGUAACGCGUGGGUAACCUGCCUCACACAGGGGGAUAACAGUUGGAAACGGCUGCUAAUACCGCAUAAGCGCACAGUACCGCAUGGUACAGUGUGAAAAACUCCGGUGGUGUGAGAUGGACCCGCGUCUGAUUAGCUAGUUGGCAGGGCAACGGCCUACCAAGGCGACGAUCAGUAGCCGACCUGAGAGGGUGACCGGCCACAUUGGGACUGAGACACGGCCCAAACUCCUACGGGAGGCAGCAGUGGGGAAUAUUGCACAAUGGGGGAAACCCUGAUGCAGCGACGCCGCGUGAGCGAAGAAGUAUUUCGGUAUGUAAAGCUCUAUCAGCAGGGAAGAAGAAAUGACGGUACCUGACUAAGAAGCACCGGCUAAAUACGUGCCAGCAGCCGCGGUAAUACGUAUGGUGCAAGCGUUAUCCGGAUUUACUGGGUGUAAAGGGAGCGCAGGCGGAAGGCUAAGUCUGAUGUGAAAGCCCGGGGCUCAACCCCGGUACUGCAUUGGAAACUGGUCAUCUAGAGUGUCGGAGGGGUAAGUGGAAUUCCUAGUGUAUCGGUGAAAUGCGUAGAUAUUA
rnacentral:rRNA from 1 species